AGAACGAACGCUGGCGGCAUGCCUAACACAUGCAAGUCGAACGAGACCUUCGGGUCUAGUGGCGCACGGGUGCGUAACGCGUGGGAAUCUACCCUUGGGUUCGGAAUAACAGUUGGAAACGACUGCUAAUACCGGAUGAUGUCGCAAGACCAAAGAUUUAUCGCCCAAGGAUGAGCCCGCGUAGGAUUAGCUAGUUGGUGAGGUAAAGGCUCACCAAGGCGACGAUCCUUAGCUGGUCUGAGAGGAUGAUCAGCCACACUGGGACUGAGACACGGCCCAGACUCCUACGGGAGGCAGCAGUGGAGAAUAUUGGACAAUGGGCGAAAGCCUGAUCCAGCAAUGCCGCGUGAGUGAUGAAGGCCUUAGGGUUGUAAAGCUACUUUUACCCGGGAUGAUAAUGACAGUACCGGAGAAUAGCUCCGGCUAACUCCGUGCCAGCAGCCGA
rnacentral:rRNA from 1 species